UUACAGCAUCACACGAUAAACCCAGUUCAAGUUUUAAAUAUUGUCUGGAAACAUGUUUGACAGCUACUUAAAGAAUUCAGCACAUUGCUAGAGGUUAUCUGCAUUUCUAUUGCUAGAGCUGUUUAAGGAGCAAUUAAUCAGGGUUUUUUUUUUCUGUUUGUGUGCUGCUAAACACCCAUCAUAAUAUGUAGUUGCAUUUUCAAGAUCAAGAUUAGAACUAUUCAAGGAUACCCUAUUUAUCUUUCUGUCCUUGGAGACAAAGUUAUCAAAAGUUAUGGAUGUCUGUGAAUUAUCAAAAGAAAAAUGCCUGUAAUGAAAGUUACAGAAAAGACACGUAAUGAGUAAGGAAAAGUAAUCUAAAUUCAAGAGAAUGAAACUGCAUUCCAUAAUGAAAGAUGCUGUCAUAUUAUAGGACAAUUCCUUAAGUCAUCUAAUGUCAAUAUAUUCUCAUUGCAACAGAGUGAUCUGAAUUUGUGCAGAAGUGGAAAAUACUGAAGAACUGCGCAACUGUGGUGAUUCAUCAUGUUGCUUUUUAGAUGAAGACAUACUUCAGAGCUUUGAGUAGAACUGAUGGUUCUCUGUGCAUCUUUCAUUGGCAUGGAACACUUGUCCAAAGAUUUCAGUGAAAGAUACAACACUGAGGAAAAAGAAAGCUUUUUCGUCAGGGAACAUUAAGGGAGACUGAGACUGAAGCUCUUUGGAAGCUCCAAAGUUGAGCUGGCUAUUGUUGACAUUGAAGAAGAGCAGCUUUUUUGAGAGCUGCUGUAAUACUUUUAGGACACUGAAAAAACAAGACAACCACAACGAAGGAAGUUUGUUUUCCAAGGAGGAGAGAGGCAUUGGCCUAAAGCCUAAGGAUACCAUCCUUGGAGACAAAGACAAGAAGUGAAUCUGGAGUUGACAUUAAGCUAAUUAUACUCAAGGCUGCAUCUAACUCACAACCCACUUCACGUGUACUGGAGAUUGCUGGUGGGGACUGGAAAGUAAGAAGGGUUUUUUAUUGAAAAUCUUAAGACAAAGAGGUGGAGACAGAAUGCAAGGAACACUAUGUUGGAAGCGUAUGACAUGGGCACACAUGUAUCAAGUAACUGUUUAACAUUAGUCUGUAACUCCUAGGGACAGGCUGGUGAGACCCAGUGCAGUGCUACAGAAGUCAGUAUAGCAAUGACCAGUUGCAUAAACUAAAGAUAUAUUGUCUCAAAGGAAAAAGGCAGAGGUUGUGGCACGUGCAGAGGUUUGAUCCUCUCCCAUACCCAGGAAAUCAAGCCCGUUUUGCCCUCUUUUUACACUGGACAGAGUCAAAAAGAAGUUUAAUGGAAGCUGAAACAUAAGACGGUAUCACUAGUACUUCCUAUGGUAUGUAAAGAGCCCUUCAACUAACAACAAAGCCAGGAAUUUUCUGAGACUACAAAUUUUCAGUUAGUAGAUGCCCUUUUUGUCCUUUUUCUAUAGACUGUAGGUGCAACAGAGGUUGCAUUUCUGCUUCUACUUGCUAUAGCACUAUGUUUAGCACCUGACAUGAAGAGGCAGUGAGCACCACCUGAAACACAGGAGGGUCUAUCUGAUCACAAACGCUUUUUUCACUUUGAGAAUGACUGAGCACUGGCACAGAUUGCCUGAGAAGUUGUGGAGUCUCCUUCCGCAAGUGUCUUGACUGACACUUUCUUCCAUCAGCCCUGCAUUUCCUCUUGUUGUGGUGCAUCAGGUGCACUUGACUUGGAGGGCUGCUUCACACAGUUGAAUUCCUCAUGCUUUUUGCAUGCACUUGA